AGCCACGUUAUCACCAUGACGGUUGUACAGAGUCUCCUCUUCUUGGCUCUUAUUUCAGCUGUUCAGGGCCAGUCCCUCACCUCCUCACAGCCGGUGGUCAGCAGACCUGGAGAGUCCGUCACGCUGUCCUGUAAAGUACAAGGACUUCCUCUUGAAUGGCUGCACUGGAUCCGUCAGGAGCCGGGAAAAGGCCUGGAAUGGAUCGGACGCAUCGAUAGUGGAACUGGCACAAUAUUCGCCCAGAGGCUCCAAGGCCAGUUCUCCAUCAGCAAAGACACGUCUACAAACCAGGUUUAUUUACAGGCAAAGAGCCUGAAACAGGAAGAUUCAGCAGUUUAUUAUUGUGCACGAGAGCCACAGAGACACAAGAGACCACAAAGCUGUACAAAAACCAGUCCACACUCAGCUGAGGAGGAGGAUCAGUGAAGCGUGUGGUUCCAUGACCUGAAGGUCAGAACGACAAGUUCACAGCUAAUUCACAUGAAAUUAAAUAAAGCGUGUGAGAAAAAAAGAGACAGAAAAGACAAACAGCUUCAGCAUCAAUCAUCAUGUUGAAACAGUAUUUCAC